rnacentral:lncRNA from 1 species
AUGCUCAAAAUUCUCCAAACCAGGCUUCAGCAAUAUGUGAACUGUGAACUUCCAGAUGUUCAAGCUGGUUUUAGAAAAGGCAGAGGAACCAGAGAUCAAACUGCCAACAUCUGCUGGAUCAUCAAAAACACAAGGGAGUUCCAGAAAAACAUCUAUUUCUGCUUUAUUGACUAUGCCAAAUUCUUUGACUGUGUGGAUCACAAUAAACUGUGGAAAAUUCUGAAACAGGUAGGAAUACCAGACCACCUGACCUGCCUCUUGAGAAACCUGUAUGCAGGUCAGGAAGCAACAGUUAGAACUGGACAUGGAACAACAGACUGGUUCCAAAUAGGAAAAGGAGUACAUCAAGGCUGUAUACUGUCACCCUGCUUAUUUAGCUUAUAUGCAGAGUACAUCAUGAGAAACGCUGGGCUGGAAGAAGCACAAACUGAAAUCAAGUUUGCUGGGAGAAAUAUCAAUAACCUCAUAUAUGCAGAUGACACCACCCUUAUGGCAGAAAGUGAAGAGGAACUAAAAAGCCUCUUGAUGAAAGGGAAAGAGGAGAGCGAAAAAGUUGGCUUAAAGCUCAACAUUCAGAAAACUAAGAUCAUGGCAACUGGUCCCAUCACUUCAUGGGAAAUAGAUGGGGAAACAGUGGAAACAGUGUCAGACUUUAUUUCGGGGGGCUCCAAAAUCACUGCAGAUAGUGACUGCAGCCAUGAAAUUAAAAGACUCUUACUCCUUGGAAGGAAAGUUAUGACCAACCUAGAUAGCAUAUUCAAAAGCAGAGACAUUACUUUGCCAACAAAGGUCCAUUUAGUCAAGGCUAUCGUCUUUCCAGUGGUCAUGUAUGGAUGUGAGAGCUGGACUGUGAAGAAAGCUGGGCAUCGAAAAAUUGAUGCUUUUGAACUGUGGUAUUGGAGAAGACUCUUAAGAGUCCCUUGGACUGCAAGGAGAUCCAACCAGUCCAUUCUGAAGGAGAUCAGCCCUGGGAUUUCUUCACAAGGAAUGAUGCUAAAGCUGAAACUCCAGUACUUUGGCCACCUCAUGCGAAGAGUUGACUCAUUGGAAAAGACUCUGAUGCUGGGAGGGAUUGGGGGCAGUAGGAGAAGGGGAAGACAGAGGAUGAGAUGGCUGGAUGGCAUCACUGACUUGAAGGACAUCAGUUUGAGUGAACUCCAGUAG